rnacentral:rRNA from 1 species
AGUGAACGCUGGCGGUAGACCUAACACAUGCAAGUCGAACGGCAGCACAGUAAGAGCUUGCUCUUACGGGUGGCGAGUGGCGGACGGGUGAGGAAUACAUCGGAAUCUACUUUUUCGUGGGGGAUAACGUAGGGAAACUUACGCUAAUACCGCAUACGACCUACGGGUGAAAGCAGGGGAUCUUCGGACCUUGCGCGAUUGAAUGAGCCGAUGUCGGAUUAGCUAGUUGGCGGGGUAAAGGCCCACCAAGGCGACGAUCCGUAGCUGGUCUGAGAGGAUGACCAGCCACACUGGAACUGAGGCACGGUCCAGACUCCUACGGGAGGCAGCAGUGGGGAAUAUUGGACAAUGGGCGCAAGCCUGAUCCAGCCAUACCGCGUGGGUGAAGAAGGCCUUCGGGUUGUAAAGCCCUUUUGUUGGGAAAGAAAAGCAGCAGGUUAAUACCCCGCUGUUCUGACGGUACCCAAAGAAUAAGCACCGGCUAACUUCGUG